AUAAACGCUGGCGGCGUGCCUUAUGCAUGCAAGUCGAACGAGACCAAGGCUUCGGCCUGAAGUCUAGUGGCGGACGGGUGAGUAACACGUACGUGACCUGUCCGGAAGUGGGGAAUAACCGGCCGAAAGGUUGGCUAAUACCGCAUGUGGUCACCCCUUAGAAGGGGAUGACCAAAGUCGCAAGACGCUUCCGGAGGGGCGUGCGGCCGAUUAGCUAGUUGGUGUGGUAACGGCGCACCAAGGCGAUGAUCGGUAGCUGGUCUGAGAGGGUGGUCAGCCACACUGGGACUGAGAUACGGCCCAGACUCCUACGGGAGGCAGCAGCAGGGAAUUUUGCGCAAUGGGCGAAAGCCUGACGCAGCAACGCCGCGUGGGGGAUGAAGGCUCUCGGGUCGUAAACCCCUUUUGUCGGGGAAGAUAAUGACGGUACCCGGCGAAUAAGCCACGGCUAACUACGU
rnacentral:rRNA from 1 species